ensembl:lncRNA
CUGUGCCCCAUUACUCAGUAAGAUUAUCUCUGAUUAUCCCUGUGCCUCAUUACUCAGUAAAAUUCUCUGAUUAUCCCUGUGCCCCAUUACUCAGUAAGAUUAUCUCUGUGCCCCAUUACUCAGUAAGAUUAUCUCUGUGCCCCAUUACUCAGUAAGAUUAUCUCUGAUUAUCCCUGUGCCCCAUUACUCAGUAAGAUUAUCUCUGUCCCCCAUUACUCAGUAAGAUUAUCUCGGAUUAUCCCUGUGCCUCAUUACUCAGUAAGAUUAUCUCUGAUUAUCCCUGUGCCCCAUUACUCAGUAAAAUUCUCUGAUUAUCCCUGUGCCCCAUUACUCAGUAAGAUUAUCUCUGUGCCCCAUUACUCCAUAAGAUUAUCUCUGAUUAUCCCUGUGCCCCAUUACUCAGUAAAAUUCUCUGAUUAUCCCUGUGCCCCAUUACUCAGUAAGAUUAUCUCUGUGCCCCAUUACUCCAGUAAGAUUAUGCCUGUGCCCCAUUACUCAGUAAGAUUAAGCAGCCUGCCAGUGUUACCAAUAAACCCAGGGUGUUAUGGGGACUGUGGAGUGCCCAUGCAUGUCCUUGAAGCCUCUUGAGCCUGUGAACACCACUCUCUCUGCCCCUGUACCGUCUGGUUCCCUUUCAAAGCACCUCUUGUUACUGAGCUGCGCAGUGUCUCAUUGACUGUUCCCCUCCACUACCAAGGGAACUGCUCUAGACAGCCUUCUGAGAGGUACACUGUUCAUGUUUGCCUUAGCCAGUUUGGCUCUCUCAUCUCAGAGGUUCAAAGGAGGCCGGCUGAGAGCUCUAACAAAAUCCCCAUCUUGCCUGAAUGCGGCCAUGCGUCAUGGUAGGGCUCCACUGACUCCAUAUUUGCCCACUUUGCAGCUUCUGUAAAGCGUAGAUAGUAUCAGUAUACCAUGUCAGUAUUGGUGUUACUUUAUCUUUGCACUUUAUCAGAGCAUAGUGCAUUAAGUAUCCGUCAAUAUGAAACAGGUUGCAAUGUACUGUAAACCAUUACCAGGGAUUUUAUUCAUGUUGUGACCUCAAAAUAUUGGUUAAAAUAUUCAAUAUGGUAAAAUGUACAUAACUCAUACAAAUGUGUGCAUAUUGAUUCGGAAAUGUAUUGCUCAAAGCCAUGAUGAAUGUACAGUAUAUGUAGAGAUCAGUCUCGGACCAUGGUCUUGAGGAACCAUAACGGUUGGUUUUCAUAGUAUCUCAAGUGAAAUUGUUCAAUCUAAAGCAAGCUCAUCACAGACCUGUUGGUUACCAAACUGGAGCAUGGUGCUGAUAUUGUGUUACAGUAGUUCUUUUCAACAUUGGUUCUUCUCUGUUCUGAGUGGAAGUCCUUCAGCAAGUGUAAUCUGUAUGCAUGUUGAGAGGCUGAAGUGUUACGUAUGAGUGAAAUAGACUCGAGUGCUGAGAACCUCAAUUUGCAGCUAUUUUGUUUAAAAGGUAGUUGACUUGGAGAGAUAGUUGACAAUAGACACGAUUGUAAAAAGUACUGUGUGAUAUGUUUCCUGUUGAAUAUGUCACAGCGAAACUAAAAGUAAACACGUUUUAAAUGGAUUUCUAUUGUGCUUUUUUUUUAUAGUUCAUCAUUUUCAACAUGGUCCGAGGAUGUGUUCAUUUAUAAAAAUGAAUAAAAUGUGAGUUUCGACAACACUGAACAGAACUCCUUUAAUGCAAUGUCAGUAAGAGUGAUGCUUUUCCUUUACAGAGGCAACCC